rnacentral:rRNA from 1 species
GCGGCGGUAGUACGGGGGGGGCGAGCGUGUGCCGGGAUCACGGGGCGUAAAGGGCGCGGAGGGGGCCGGGGAAGGUGGGGGUGAAAGCCCGGGGCUCAACCCCGGGUCGGCCGUGGCAACUGCUGGGCGGGAGCACAGUAGAGGCGGGUGGAAUUCCGGGUGUAGCGGUGGAAUGCGUAGAGAUCCGGAAGAACACCGGUGGCGAAGGCGGCCCGCUGGGCUGUGACUCUUCGGAGUCUUCAAGCUGACGCUGAGGCGCGACAGCGUGGGGAGCAAACAGGAUUAGAUACCCCGGUAGUC